rnacentral:rRNA from 1 species
ACGGCAGCACAGGUAGAACCUGCUUCCAUGGGUGUCGAKUGUCGGACGGGUGAGGAAUACAUCGGAAUCUACUUUUUCGUGGGGGAUAUAGUAUGGAAACUUACGCUAAUACCGCAUACGACCUACGGGUGAAAGCACGGGACCUCCGGGCCUCGCGCGAUAGAAUGAGCCGAUGUCUGAUUAUCUAGUUGGCGGGGUAAAGGCCCACCAAGGCGACGAUCCGUAGCUGGUCUGAGAGGAUGAUCAGCCACACUGGAACUGAGACACGGUCCAGACUCCUACGGGAGGCAGCAGUGGGGAAUAUUGGACAAUGGGCGCAAGCCUGAUCCAGCCAUACCGCGUGGGUGAAGAAGGCCUUCGGGUUGUAAAGCCCUUUUGUUGGGAAAGAAAUCCAGCCGGCUAAUACCUGGUUGGGAUGACGGUACCCAAAGAAUAAGCACCGGCUAACUUCGUGCCAGCAGCCGCGGUAAUACGAAGGGUGCAAGCGUUACUCGGAAUUACUGGGCGUAAAGCGUGCGUAGGUGGUUGUUUAAGUCUGUUGUGAAAGCCCCUGGGCUCACCCUGGGAACUGCAAGUGGAAACUGGACG